rnacentral:rRNA from 1 species
UAACCUGCCCAAUAGAUCGGGAUAACACCUGGAAACAGAUGCUAAUACCGGAUAACAACAGAUGAUGCCUAUCAAACUGUUUAAAAGAUGGUUCUGCUAUCACUCUUGGAUGGACCUGCGGUGCAUUAGCUAGUUGGUAGGGUAACGGCCUACCAAGGCGAUGAUGCAUAGCCGAGUUGAGAGACUGAUCGGCCACAUUGGGACUGAGACACGGCCCAAACUCCUACGGGAGGCAGCAGGC